CCUACGGAAGGCAGCAGUGAGGAAUAUUGGUCAAUGGGCGAGAGCCUGAACCAGCAAAGUCGCGUGAAGGAUGACGGCCCUACGGGUUGUAAACUUCUUUUGUCAGGGAGCAAUUGAGUCCACGUGUGGGCUUAUCGAGAGUACCUGAAGAAAAAGCAUCGGCUAACUCCGUGCCAGCAGCCGCGGUAAUACGGAGGAUGCGAGCGUUAUCCGGAUUUAUUGGGUUUAAAGGGUGCGUAGGCGGAAUAUCAAGUCAGCGGUAAAAAUUCGGGGCUCAACCCCGUCGUGCCGUUGAAACUGAUGUUCUUGAGUGGGCGAGAAGUAUGCGGAAUGCGUGGUGUAGCGGUGAAAUGCAUAGAUAUCACGAAGAACUCCGAUUGCGAAGGCAGCAUACCGGCGCCCAACUGACGCUGAAGCACGAAAGCGUGGGUAUCGAACAGGAUUAGAUACCCCAGUAGUC
rnacentral:rRNA from 1 species